GCUGCUGUCAUCAUCAUGGGAAGAACAUACCUGGCUGGCCCAGAGAACAGACGAGCGAGAUAUGUGUCCCAGAAGAGCUGCCUAGCCAGUCUCAGCCCAGGUUCUGGAGUACAUGUGCAGAACAUGCAGCAUUGUUGCAUAGGUACAUACAUGGCAAUGUGGUUUGCUGCCUCCAUCCCCCCAUCACCUAUAUCUGGCAAUUCUCCCCAUGUUAUCCCUCCCCAACCUCCCUACCCUCCGCUGUCCCUCCCCUAGUCCCCACCAACAGACCCCAGUGUGUGAUGCUCCCCUCCCUGUGUCCAUGUGUUCUCAUUGUUCAAUAGAUGCCUAUGAGUGAGAACAUGCAGUGUUUGAUUUUCUGUUCUUAUGUCAGUUUGUUGAGAAUGAUGGUUUCCAGAUGCAUCCAUGUCCCUACAAAGGACAUGAACUCAGUGUUUUUUAAUGCUGCAUAGUAUUCCAUGGUAUAUAUAUGCCACAUUUUCCUUGUCCAGUCUGUCAUUGAUGGGCAUUUGGGUUGGUUCCAGGUCUUUGCUAUUGUAAACAGUGCUGCAAUGAACAUUCGUGUGCAUGUGUCUUUAUAAUAGAAUGAUUUAUAAUCCUUUGGAUAUAUACCCAGUAAUGGGAUUGCUGGGUCAAAUGGAAUUUCUGUUUCUAGGUCCUUGAGGAA
rnacentral:lncRNA from 1 species